rnacentral:rRNA from 1 species
UACGUAGGGGGCAAGCGUUGCUCGGAAUCACUGGGCGUAAAGCGCACGUAGGCGGCUUUCUAAGUCAGGGGUGAAAUCCUGGAGCUCAACUCCAGAACUGCCUUUGAUACUGGAGAGCUUGAGUCCGGAAGAGGUGAGUGGAACUCCGAGUGUAGAGGUGAAAUUCGUAGAUAUUCGGAAGAACACCAGUGGCGAAGGCGGCCAACUGGACGAAUACUGAACGCUGAGAC